rnacentral:rRNA from 1 species
UACGGAGGGUGCAAGCGUUAUCCGGAUUCACUGGGUUUAAAGGGUGCGUAGGCGGGCUUGUAAGUCAGUGGUGAAAUCCCGGAGCUUAACUCCGGAACUGCCAUUGAUACUGCAGGUCUUGAGUACACUUGAGGUGGGCGGAAUACAUCAUGUAGUGGUGAAAUACUUAGAUAUGAUGUAGAACACCGAUUGCGAAGGCAGCUCACUAAAUUGUAACUGACGCUGAGGCACGAAAGCGUGGGGAUCAAACAGG